rnacentral:piRNA from 1 species
UGGAUACAGAAACUCUGUGUUCAAAGUCCA